rnacentral:rRNA from 1 species
UACGGAGGGUGCAAGCGUUGCUCGGAAUCACUGGGCGUAAAGGGCGUGUAGGCGGUUUCGUGUGUCUGACGUGAAAGCCCCGGGCUUAACCCGGGAAGUGCGUUGGAAACUGCGGAACUAGAGUCCCGGAGAGGAAGGUAGAAUUCCAGGUGUAGCGGUGAAAUGCGUAGAUAUCUGGAAGAAUACCGGUGGCGAAGGCGGCCUUCUGGACGGAUACUGACGCUGAUACGCGAAAGCGUGGGGAGCAAACAGG